GAUGAAGAACGCAGCGGAAUGCGAUAAGUAAUGUGAAUUGCAGAAUUCAGUGAAUCAUCGAAUCUUUGAACGCACAUUGCGCCCGUCAGUAUUCUGGCGGGCAUGCCUGUUCGAGCGUCAUUACGCCCCUCAAGUCCCCUGUGGACUUGGUGUUGGGGAUCGGCGAGGCUGGUUUUCCAGCACAGCCGUCCCUUAAAUUAAUUGGCGGUCUCGCCGUGGCCCUCCUCUGCGCAGUAGUAAAACACUCGCAACAGGAGCCCGGCGCGGUCCACUGCCGUAAAACCCCCCAACUUUUUAUAGUUGACCUCGAAUCAGGUAGGACUACCCGCUGAACUUAAGCAUAUCAAUAAGCGGAGGA
rnacentral:misc_RNA from 1 species